rnacentral:lncRNA from 1 species
AGCCAUUGCAGACAUGAUAUCGUCCAAAUUCUCGGCUGCAAUCACGCAAGUGCAAGUGCAAAAUAAAUGGAAAAGUUUAGAGCGCUCAUACAAGAAGACAAAGGUGAAGAACAAUUCAUCGGGGCACUCAAGAGCUCUCUGCGAGCAUGAAGAAGAGCUAAGUGAUGUACUUGAGAAAGAGCACCACAUCAGUCCUACUGUACUAAUGAGGCCUGGAGCCAUAUUAGAAAAGGACAGCAGCAAGUGUCCUGACAUCGACGAGAACAGCU